rnacentral:misc_RNA from 1 species
CUACGGAGUACAUAGACAUCUUUUUAUAAUUUGGCAUUUUAUAAUUUUUUAAUAAUUCAUAUUAUGGGCUUAGCCAAAGAGUUUUGCACUUAGUUUUGAAAGAUUUAACUUUCAAAAUAGUUCUUUGAAAACUGAAUAGCAAAUAUUUUUUAAAUAUUUCAACAACGACAUUACAAUACAAAAACCGAGUCUAACUGUAAAAAGUUAGAAUUAAAUUAGAUACCUUAGAAAUACAAAUCAAAAACAAUAGGCUUAAUAAAUAAGUUAUAUUAG